rnacentral:SRP_RNA from 1 species
GCCAGGCAUGGUGGCGUGUGCCUGUAAUCCCAGCUACUCAGGAGGCUGAGGCAGGAGAAUCGCUUGAACCCAGGAGGCAGAGGUUGCAGUGAGCUGAGAUUGUGCCACUGCACUACAGCCUGGGCAACAGAGCAAGCCUCUGUCUCAA